CCUACGGGAGGCAGCAGUGGGGAAUAUUGGACAAUGGGCGAAAGCCUGAUCCAGCCAUGCCGCGUGUGUGAAGAAGGUCUUCGGAUUGUAAAGCACUUUAAGUUGGGAGGAAGGGCGUUAACCUAAUACGUUAGUGUUUUGACGUUACCGACAGAAUAAGCACCGGCUAACUUCGUGCCAGCAGCCGCGGUAAU
rnacentral:rRNA from 1 species